rfam:Triticum urartu cultivar G1812 contig884281, whole genome shotgun sequence.
AUUACUUACUUGAACAUGAUCUGUUCUAUAGGCUCGUACCGAUGCAUCCUUUACCAAUAAGGAGGCAAGCACUCAAGUCUGGUUGAUGACCUGUGACCUCUGGGCCAAAGCGGGAUUAACGGCCAGGAUUCAUCUGAUGUAUCCGAUGGCUGUAGACGAUCGUUCCUGCCUGGCUCAGCCUGUGUAGGGUGGCCUAGAGGUUGUCUGACAGACU